rnacentral:tRNA from 2 species
AAGGAUUUAAGUUAAAUAGGCAAACUAUCAACCUUCAAAGUUGAAAAUAGAUAGAAUUUCUAAGCCUUA